rnacentral:rRNA from 1 species
GUAGAAUUUGUUUAAAAUAAAAACAAGUAUGUUUACUUUUAUUUAUUAUAAAAUAAGGUAGGCAAUUAAUCUUUUAAAGAAAUAACUUUUAAGACAUAGGCUUGGCCCUGACUUGCUAGUAUAUCAUAAGCAAAAGAAUACACAUGGAUUUUUUUGAUAAAAGCGAGGUAAGAAAAGUAGUUUAUAAUUAUUCAUAAAGAUCUUUUAAACUUUUUCUUAAAGUAUUAUAGCACUAUAAAAUGCUUUGUUAAGUCCCGCUAACACCAGUGCUGAAGUUUAAAAAAUAGGCGAAAGCCUGCGUUAAUUUAGCUAUCAAAUCUGGUUAACUUGGUGCCAGCAUCCGCGGUUAAACCAAGAGAUUAAGUUAUACUUAAACGGUAAAAAGGCAGUUAGGCAUAAAUAUUAAAGUUGACUUAUAGUCGCCAAUAAAGGAGUAAAAUCCAAAUAUCGACUUAAAAAUUUGUGUUAACUUGUUUGCUGAAUCUGCGACACCCUCGAGGGAAACUGGGAUUAGAUACCCCAUUAUUCUUGGAAAUAAAAAGAAAAAUCUACCAGAGUACUAUGAAUUAAAAAUUUAAAACUCAAAGGGCUUGGCGGUGCCUUAGACCUUUCAGGGGAACCUGUCUUAUAAUCGACAAUCCACGUUAUACCUAACCUUUUCUUGCAUACAGUUUGUAUACCGUCGUCGUCAGGUAACUUUUAAAAAUUUAAUAGUUAGCAGAUAAACUUUAAUAAGUUUAAACGUCAGAUCAAGGUGCAAUUAAUGAAAAGGUCAAGAUGGGUUACAAUUAUAUUUUAAUAAUAAUACGGAAAAUUGACUGAAAUGCCAUUCCGAAGGAGGACUUGAAAGUAAAGAAUUUAUAUACACAUAUAAAUUGAAUAAGGCUCUGAGGCGUGCACACAUCGCCCGUCGCUCUCGUUGAAAAAUGAGAUAAGUCGUAACAUAGCAGGGGUAAUGGAAAUUGUCCCUAGAU